rnacentral:lncRNA from 1 species
UAACAACAUAGCAUCAGAAAAAUUAUGGAGAGAAGCAGAAGAUGAGUGAGAUGAGUGGCAAAUGUUUGUUUUCUAAGUUUAAUGCUGUGGAUUGUGGCUUUUCUAACUUUUACAACGAUACCAAACAAUUUUAUAAGCUUAAUGAAUGUGAAAAGAACACUGAUGCCCAUCUUAGAUCACUACAUUCAUAUAAUCUGAACUCAGACGUUUCUGAAUCAACACUUAUUUUAUCUCGUGUCGGAGCGGUUUUCAAUUAUAGUUGUACAUAUAACAUAUGCCAAGCCCACAGAGACACUCUAGGUAUCUAUUGGCAAAGAUCAAACAGAAAUGGCUGCAAGCAUCCACUGCAUGGUUCGUCCAAACGAAAGGCUGAUAGAGGAAUUUCACUGAAGCGCUCGGUUGAGAUUUUCCUUUUUUGGGGAGAGCAUGUGCCCAUUGGAUCAGGUAUGUUAUAUUUUUGGUUAGAUAAAAAAUUAAAACAUUUGGGGAUCCACACUUUAUGCAUUGUAGCCUAUAAAGAAAUGGCCAUUCCACUAAAAAUCUAAACGAAACUUGGGGGGGGGGGUUACUUUCUGAGUGAGUGGUAUCAAAAGUCAUAGCAUUGUUUAUAUCUAAGGGUUACCCAAUUUGUUUUCUUGUUAGUCCUUUGUCUAUAUAUUUAUGUAAAAAUGAGGGGUAAGUGUCAUAUUUGGUAUCUGAGGGAUAGAAAUUUUGCAAGAAAAUAUGAGUGGGGUUAAAAAAUGCUUCAUGUAAGCUGUUCAGUUUCAUGUAGGCCACCCAAAUGAUUUCAAUAAAUGGUGGAUCCCUACAGAAGCAGUCUUGACCAUUACCAAACUACCAUGUUUUUGGCAAAGGCCAAUCCACCAUUAAAGCAAAAAAAAAUACAUCAUCAUCAUGUAUCCCAUUUUAAUCUUUAUAAAAUAUUUAAAUCUGACACUCUGUCUACCUAAUAUCAUCUACCUAUUUUUAUGAAGCAGCACACUAAUUUUCAUUUAUGAGAGUAGGAACAGAAUUUGGUGCUUUUAUGGGUCGCUUUUUCAAGAUGUCAAAUAUAUUUGUGGCUUGAAAAUUUCAAACAAAAUAUAUGACUAGACCCAAAUAUUUAGAACAAAAUGUAUGACUGGGCUGUAAUUAUCAGACAAAUGUAUGACUGGGCUUUAAUUUUCAGACAAAUGUAUGACCCGGCUGAAAUUUUGGACUAAAUAUAUGGUUACAUGUAGAUAACAUUUUUUUAUGCAAAAUAUAUAUGAAUAGGUCAUUUUUUUGGUCUUAGGCUACAGACAAUAUAUGAAUGUGUUUAUCAUAUUCCAGAGAGCUGUUCCAGAGGCACACCUGUACCAACUUUUAAACAAAUUUUAAAGUGCCCCACCCCCAAUUCCCAUUGUUGGCAUAAUUUGUUUUCAUUUGGUGAAAUCAGUAAUAAUUCUUUAAAAGUAACAAACAAGAACAAUAGUCAAAAAUGAAUUAUUCAUGCUAACUUACAUGCACAUAUAAAAAGUCAUUCUUUAUAAUUUACAGGUAUAUGCAGAGGCUGCAGAGAAGAACACAGCAAAGAAUUAUUGAAAUUCACAUUUUGUGAUGAAGACAAUGAAGAGUCAAACAUAGAAGAUGGUAUGUAAAAAAAAUCAUUUGACAUUUUGUUCAUCAUGUUCAAUUAAAAAAAAAUCAGUUAUUUUGAUGAGCGAACAAGAAUCAUGUUGUACAUGUAUAUAUAUAGAGUGAUGUUCAGGUUGCAUUUAAAACUUCUUUAUGCAAGUUAUUGACAAUGCACAGCACAAUGUAGGAAUUAAUUUUUAAAAGAUAGCCAUGAUAGUGGCAAACUCUUCAUAUUUUUAAAACAAAUUUAAUUUUUACAACAAAUCACUAAAUGCAAUACAAAAGAAAUUGAGUGCUCUCAACAUGUACUUUAAUGGAGAAGGGUAUAUAUAUAUCCCACUUACAGACGGCCAGCUCUGAAUGCCCCUCCCCCAAAACAAAAAAAGAGCAAUUAAACCUAAGGACACAGCACAUGCCCAGAUUAUGAGAUAUCUUUUUUAGAAUAAUAGGUUUAACAUGUACAAUGCAAGGGCAAACCAAUGAAGUAAAUACUCCUGAUUUAGGAGAGGAGCACAAAUGUGUUUUUUUAAGAUCCCUUCUCUAUACUGCAUUUAAAAAAAUAAACAGUUAAUUCUAAAAAUGCUUUUAUUACUGUGAUUUUGAAAUGCAAUAUGGUUAUCUCCAUAUUAAUGAAACCUUGGACUCACUAAGCAUGUACAUGUACUGUAAAUCGUGUACAUAUGAUGCUUUGAAAUUUUAAUUACUGUCCAAUCAAAAUUUCCAUUAGAAUAUAUGUUUUUACUACUUUUUAGAUGAACCAAAAGAAAAGAAAAUAUGUCUCUCAAGUGAAGUUGUGUGUCGACUUUCUGUGACAGAUGGUAACUGUCUUCAAUAUGGAAUUUGCAC